GCAUCAGUAUGAUUGUAACUCAGCCCAGGGGAAGGAGGACUGUCUUUGCUGCAGAUUUUUGUCAGUCCCCAUUCAUUCCCCUUACAGCAGCCUCAUUUGUUUUAGAGAUGGGAGAACAAUUGGGAAGAAAAGAUAUGUGACUGAGGAAGGAGCAAGGAAAAGUGCUCAGGUUAAGUGGAAAUAUCCAUUUCAUGAUUACUGGGCAGAAAAUAGCUUGUUAGCAGUUCUUUGGGAAGUUAUCUGAGGGCAGGAAUCAGUAAUACCAUUGCAGAAAGCAGUUCUGUACCGUGACAGAGCAGGAAUUUUCAGUAAAUGCCGAGCAAAUUCCUUGUCACCUCCUACUCCAGCUGAGGCUUAGUGCUCUGUGCUGUUCAGAGAGUGCCAUUAAAGAGAGCUGCAGACCAAUUAGUGAUGUCUGGAAGGAUGUAAUGGGGUAGAGAUGGUCUUGAAGGUCUCUCUGAAGACAAGAGAAUUGGAGAGUUUGAUUUAGAGUACUGAGUGGGGCUGUGAGCUCUGAUGUGUCAGGGAUGCCUUCAGAGAAUAAAGGAGUGACUUAUCCUGUAAUCACCAUGAGCAGGAGGUGCUCACAGGCUUGUAGCUCAGCUAGGGGAGCCUAGGCUGGACAUUAACUGAUGGGGGUGGGUAAGCCCUGGCACAGCCUGUGAGAGUGCUGGUGUGUCUGCUCACAGAGGGGUGGGAAGGACAAAUGAGACAAGUCAGAAAUAAUUAGCCAGCAGCAAGCUGGGAUCAGCUGCAUGCAGACAGGAGCAGAGGCAACAGACGCAUGGCAAAAGCCAUGCACGUAUAUACUUGAGCCAGUGGACACAGUCAGCAUUUAAUCCACUCUUUGGCCCAGAUUGCAUCUUCAGGUUCUUUUGAACAGAGGCUGUGACCACCUGUGUGGUUUGUGGUUACUGAAUAACCAUCAGACUUGUUCAUCCAGGGAGCCCUGCUGGGACGGGUCGCAGGUCCUGCUCAGCAAGGAGAGCCUCCAUGAGCAGCUCCUCGUGAGCAGCUCCUCGUAACCAUCCUCCCACGUGAGAUGGGGCAGCAGCAUUGUGAAAUCCCUGCUGUUCAGGGAGUGCAGGUAACCCAGAAAGAGGUGGGGUUUGGUCCUGGAGUCCUUUCAUCACUUGUGCCACGUCACUGCAGAGCAGUUAAACCUCAGCUCGUCGUGUUGUGAUGCCGCAUGACUCCAAGGGUGGAACUACAAAUGAGGUCAAGCCAAGCUUGAUUUAAAUACUGAGUUAUUUGGCACACUGUUUGAUUCCUCUGACAGCUGCAUGACAGCAUGGUAAGAACUAUUCUGCAGAUCUGCCCUGUUUGCUAUCCUGGAGCCCAUUGCUGCUGCUUCUUAGGAAACAAGCUUCCAGGCAGAAUGGUUUGUCAGAUGAAAUCUCCAAGGCCAGCAUGAAGGGACACUUUGGGUGUCCUCUGUGCUUUAAUGAACCAGGGGGAAAAAAUGACAGAUGCACCCUGGAAGAGACAAAGAGACUGAUGCUAACCAACAGCAGGUGCUUCAGGGAAGAGCUCAGGGCAUCCCUGAGGGAGGCUAAAUGGGAGAGUCUGCUCCCUUGUUUCCAUCUUGGCAGUCAGAUGCUGUGAAGAUGAUCUGGAAGGAGGUUUAAGUGCUUAAAAUGUGUCUCAUGUUCCCUGUACCCAAGUGUCCUGUCUUGUUCCAGGCUUGCGUGACAAGUAUAGGAUAGAGCUAAAUAUUGUCAUUCCUGAUAUUGCAGUGUUUUUAAAAAUAGCCUUGGACAUGUUAAAACUGAGGCAGUGGAUUGUAACAGCUUCUCUGCUCUGGGAAGCUCAGGAUCUGCAAAUGCAUAAUUUAUUGCUUUUUUUCCUUCAUUUUUUAGUUAUAGGCACAUAAAGCAGUUGCUUGACGUAGCAGUGAAGAGACAGGCUUAGAGUUAAGGUUGCACAAGGUUGCUGUGAGACCCAUACAAGUAAGAAUUUAUCAUGGAAUUUGUAAAUAUCUGUUAAUACUACUGAUACAGAGACAGAAAAUGUGGUGCUUAGCAUUAGGUCCUUCUUCUCCAUCAAGGGAUGGAAUAACACAGAACCAAGCUCUCCUUUAAGAUCUGUUUUCUUGGUGAUCCUAAGCAGGAUGGCUUGCCAAAUGCUGUGCCUGGGGAUACCCAUCCCCACUGGAUUUGGGGUCACCUGCAAUUCCCAGUAAGGGUGUCACCCUUGUCACAGUGAAAGAACUAAUACAAAUAGCAAAGGAACUUGGGUUCCCUUUACUGGUUUGUGCAAGAAAUAGCAUCUCAUCUGGGUAAAUAACCCUUCUCUACGGAAAAUCGGUUUCUAGAAAGCCACAGGGAGUAGCCAGCAGGGGGAUAUGGCCUGUUGGCAGCAUCCCAUCUCCUUAUUUCUGGUGAUUGCCUGUUGCCCACCCGCCUUCCCAUGUAGAUGUGUGAUUUUGUGACCCCCCCCCUUCAGCUGGUUCUUCUCGUCUUUGAGGUCUGCCACAUUGUUUGCUUUCACUUUGCAGCAUCCAUCUCUUUUGGCAGGGAUCUCUGCCCCAGCCUGUGCUCUCUGCUCUCUGCAGGUUCGAGACAUCAGGCACCAUGAUAACACAUGCAAGCACCUUUUCAGAAGGGGAAUUUUUAGUGUUCAGGACCUGAGGACAGAGCACAGGACUGCUUUCCUAUCCACACUGUGCACUGAGAGCUUUCUGGUGGUCUGUCUCUCUCCGCGUUGCGUGGAGAGCCCUCAAGUGCUCCUUGUUUGCAUAGCUGCCUUUAAUAUUUUAUCAGUUCUUACAAGCUUUUUGUAAAGCAGAUUGGGAUAGCUCCUCCUGCUGUUGGAGCAAGCAGGUUCAUCAUAUAUAUUUAACACUUAGACUGAAACCAUGUGCAUCAUUGGAUGGAGAUGCUCGGAAGCACCUUUCAGCCUGCUCUCCUGCACAGGUUUCCCAUGGCAGAGCAGCUUUGCCAGGGUCACAACUGCUCCACCAAGUGUUUGUCUUCAAGUUCUGUUCCUUGGGAAGAAUUAAUGCCCAAUUUGGAAGGCUGCAGGGUUUGGUGUGUGCCGUGCACUUUUUCCUUGCAGGCACUCAUCUCUGAGUGCAAGGGGGUGAUGUUAUUCCCCUUCACUUCUAGCGUUGCUAUUUGAAGGAGGGCUUGUUGCGUUUUAGUAGCUUAAAGAAAGCAACUUCACAGCUGAAAUUCCCCAAGAACAGCAUGAGAACGGCUCCUCUCCUACGUGCAGAGCAAUGUGGAGGAUGUGCUGUUGGGAUACUGCUGUUUCAGCACUUGUCCAUGCUCUGAAGCUGCUUUUUCAGCAGGCGUGCACGUAACAAAUAGAUUUUCUCUGCUGGAGAUGUCCUCAGCACACAGGUUUCCAGAUUCUUCUUGAAUCCCAGAGGGGAAGUUGCAGAAGCAGUUCCCAGACUCAAUCUGCCUGGUCCCAGUCCAUUUAUUACCUUUCUGCUCCAUCUCUCUGUGUGGAAAAGCAGCACGAGCCACAGUUGGCAGUGGUGAUUCUACCUGCCUGCAGGAAUCCCAGUUAAACCAGUUUCUCUGCUUUCUGCAAGGCUUCCUGCUGGCUCCUGGCUGCAGUGCAUGGAUCUGGGUGCCUGGAGCUGGUGUGGUUUGAAGCCUGCUGUGAGACACAGUUUCUUUUGUUGAAGUUGCAGUGCUCUGGGCUCCCUGCAGCUCCUCCUUGGCUAAUCCUACAGCUGAUGUGAAACUGGCUGCAGGAGAUGAGCUUGGAGAUCAGAGACAGCUCUGCUGAGGCACAGUCUCCUCCAAACUUGGAUUGGGAAGGGGCUCCAGCUGCAUUGGUGUGGCCAUAGCUCCAGUGUGCCCCGUAUACAAACGGUCCCAUGGAGAGCCCCCUAUUUUCCUGCCAGGAGAAAAACUGAAUUGAAACUCUCAAUAAUACUUUUUUAAGCUCAGGCAGUGUAAAAUCACAGAAUCACAGAAUGGCUUGGGUUGGAAGGAAGUGUAGAGGUUACAGAAUCCUAGAAUGACUUGGGUUGAAAAGAACCGUAAGGAUCAUAGGAUGUUUGAAUGGGUUGGGUUGGAAGGGUCCUUAAAGAUCAUAGGGCCAUAGGAUAGGUUGGGUUGGAAGGGUCCUUAAAGAUCAAAAGGCCAUAAGAUAGGUUGGGUUGGAAGGGUCCUUAAAGAUCAAAAGGCCAUAGGAUAGGUUGGGUUGGAAGGGUCCUUAAAGAUCAAAAGGCCAUAGGGUGGACUAUAUUGGAAAGGUCCUUAAAGAUCAAAAGGCCAUAGGGUGGACUAUAUUGGAAGGAUCCUUAAAGAUCAUAAGGCUAUAGGAUAGGUUGGGUUGGAAGGGUCCUUAAAGAUCAAAAGGCCAUAGGAUAAGUUGGGUUGGAAGGGUCCUUAAAGAUCAUAGGGCCAUAGGAUAGGUUGGGUUGGAAGGGUCCUUAAAGAUCAAAAGGCCAUAGGGUGGACUAUAUUGGAAGGGUCCUUAAAGAUCAAAAGGCCAUAGGGUGGACUGUAUUGGAAGGGUCCUUUAAGAUCAUAAGGCCAUAGGGUGGACUAUAUUGGAAGGGUCCUUAAAGAUCAUAAGGCUAUAGGGUAGGUUGGGUUGGAAGGGUCCUUAAAGAUCAAAAGGCCAUAGGGUGGACUAUAUUGGAAGAGUCCUUAAAGAUCAUAAGGCCAUAGGAUAGGUUGGGUUGGUAGGGUCCUUAAAGAUCAAAAGGCCAUAGGGUGGUCUAUAUUGGAAGGGUCCUUAAAGCUCAUGGAAUGGGUUGGACUGGGAGGAACCUUAAGCAUCACAGUCAUAGAAUGGUUCAAUUGGAAAAGCAUCCACAACUUAGAGAAUAUUGGUGGUGGCUGGAUGGCAUUCAAACUUGUUCUCCAGAUGAACACAGAAUCUCCCGUUUUAGCAGUAAGCGGAACGUGAGCUAAACCAUCCAAGGGAGGAUUUAGGUUGUUUCUAGCUAUGAGUGUGAUGUAGUAGCACAGAGAUGGCGUGUGUUUUCACACUCACUGCUG